GUCGUGAUAGUAUAGUGGUUAGUACUCUGCGUUGUGGCCGCAGCAACCCCGGUUUGAAUCUGGGUCACGGUA
rfam:Danio rerio chromosome 4, GRCz11 reference primary assembly.